rnacentral:miRNA from 1 species
AGUCUGUGAUACUGUGGUAGC